rnacentral:rRNA from 1 species
UACGAAGGGGGCUAGCGUUGUUCGGAAUUACUGGGCGUAAAGCGCACGUAGGCGGACAUUUAAGUCAGGGGUGAAAUCCCGGGGCUCAACCCCGGAACUGCCUUUGAUACUGGGUGUCUAGAGUAUGGAAGAGGUGAGUGGAAUUCCGAGUGUAGAGGUGAAAUUCGUAGAUAUUCGGAGGAACACCAGUGGCGAAGGCGGCUCACUGGUCCAUUACUGACGCUGAGGUGCGAAAGCGUGGGGAGCAACAGG